rnacentral:rRNA from 1 species
AUUGAACGCUGGCGGCAUGCCUUACACGUGCAAGUCGAACGGCAGCACGGGAGCAAUCCUGGUGGCGAGUGGCGAACGGGUGAGUAAUAUAUCGGAACGUGCCCAGUCGUGGGGGAUAACGCAGCGAAAGCUGUGCUAAUACCGCAUACGAUCUACGGAUGAAAGCGGGGGAUCGCAAGACCUCGCGCGAUUGGAGCGGCCGAUAGCAGAUUAGCUAGUUGGGGAGGUAAAGGCUCACCAAGGCGACGAUCUGUAGCUGGUAUGAGAGGACGACCAGCCACACUGGAACUGAGACACGGUCCAGACUCCGACGGGAGGCAGCAGUGGGGAAUUUUGGACAAUGGGCGCAAGCCUGAUCCAGCAAUGCCGCGUGCAGGAUGAAGGCCUUCGGGUUGUAAACUGCUUUUGUACGGAACGGAACGGCGAGCUCUAAUACAGUUUGCUAAUGACGGUACCGUAAGAAUAAGCACCAGCUAACUACGUGCCAGCCGCCGCGGUAAAAC